rnacentral:rRNA from 1 species
AGUGAACGCUGGCGGUAGGCCUAACACAUGCAAGUCGAACGGCAGCACAGUAAGAGCUUGCUCUUACGGGUGGCGAGUGGCGGACGGGUGAGGAAUACAUCGGAAUCUACUUUUUCGUGGGGGAUAACGUAGGGAAACUUACGCUAAUACCGCAUACGACCUACGGGUGAAAGCAGGGGAUCUUCGGACCUUGCGCGAUUGAAUGAGCCGAUGUCGGAUUAGCUAGUUGGCGGGGUAAAGGCCCACCAAGGCGACGAUCCGUAGAUGGUCUGAGAGGAUGAUCAGCCACACUGGAACUAAGACACGGUCCAGACUCCUACGGGAGGCAGCAGUGGGGAAUAUUGGACAAUGGGCGCAAGCCUGAUCCAGCCAUACCGCGUGGGUGAAGAAGGCCUUCGGGUUGUAAAGCCUUUUUGUUGGGAAAGAAAAGCAGCAGGUUAAUACCCCGCUGUUCUGACGGUACCCAAAGAAUAAGCACCGGCUAACUUCGUG